ensembl:lncRNA
AUUAUAUACAUAUUAACUCGCUAACAGCCAAUAAUAAAUAAAAAAUCAGUGUAAUUUAUUUUAAAGUAUUGUUAUCAGAACAACAACAACAUCUGUGUGUUAUCAGAGAACAGCAGGAUGCAUAACGCAGCAUGUAAGUGAGGAAAGUGGACCAGCACCGUCUGUAAAGACUGGAUUUUCUUUGAAUCUCAAUCAAAGAUAAAAACACUUCCAGGUUGAGCAGUUACACAGUGACUAAAGUAACGUUUAACGUUCACUUUCCCACACAAGAACUUAUCUUCUUUCUGGGACAACGUGACCAGCAGAGAACCACCUUGUUGUACUUCAUAUUGUGUGAGGCUCCUGGUACUUCAGGCUCCGGGUACUUCAGGCUCCUGGUACUUCAGGCUCCGGGUACUUCAGGCUCCUGGUACUUCAAGCUCCUGGUACUUCAGACUCCUGGGAGCAAUUCGGGGUUUGGUGUCUUGCUCAGGGACACUUGGACAUGGGACAUGGAGCAACCGGGGCCCAAACCACCAACCCUCUCUACCCCUGCGCCACGUCGACCCCGACAUCAGGCUCCUAGUACUUUAGCUCCAUCUUGCUCCCAUCUGACUCCAUUCUCCCAGAAUAUCACAGGCCUGUCUAAAUGCUGUGCAGCAAAAGGCGCUUCAACCGGCUUUUUCUUCAGUGAUGGCUGUGGCAAUGGAUCACUUCUACACGGCCAUCAUGGAGUCCGUCCUCUGCUCCUCCAUCAGCGUCUGGUACGCUGCAGCCACAGCCAAGGACGAGGGCAGGCUGCAGCGUGUCCUCCGCUCUGCAGAGAGGCUGAUCGGCUGCAAUUGUCCAUCAGGACCAAGACCUCCCACCACAAAAACAGUUUCUUCCAAUUCCGAGUCCCCCACUGACCCAGACACUACAUCCCAGGACAUUUGCACAGUAGUCCACAGUAGUCAAACUAAGGACUCACCUCUUCAGACUCUACCUCGACUAAAAGACUAACAAAUUGUACCACUUAAAUUGUACUUAUAACGCCACUUAUCUAUAGCAAGUUGUAAAUUGGCUUAUUUGAUGAAAUUGCACUUUCUUGUUUCUUGUUCUUCUGAGUUUGUACCUUAUGGUUGAAUGCACUUAUUGUAAGUCGCUUUGGAUAAAAGCGUCAGCUAAACGUGGGAUGUAAUGUAGUCCAACGUACCACAUGUCUCAACGUACUUAUCUGUUUAUAUUGUUAAUAUCUUUACUUUUUACUUUCAUUUUAUU